UACGUAGGGAGCAAGCGUUUGUCCGGAAUCAUUGGGCGUAAAGCGCGCGUAGGCGGCCCUGUAAGUCCGUUGUGAAAGUCAAAGGCUCAACCUUUGAAAGCCGAUGGAUACUGCAGGGCUAGAGUCCGGAAGAGGUAAGUGGAAUUCCUAGUGUAGCGGUGAAAUGCGUAGAGAUUAGGAAGAACACCAGUGGCGAAGGCGACUUACUGGACUGUAACUGACGCUGAGGAGCGAAAGCGUGGGGAGCGAACAGG
rnacentral:rRNA from 1 species